AUUGAACGCUGGCGGCAGGCUUAACACAUGCAAGUCGAGCGGGGUGAUGGUGCUUGCACUAUCACUUAGCGGCGGACGGGUGAGUAAUGCUUAGGAAUCUGCCUAUUAGUGGGGGACAACAUCUCGAAAGGGAUGCUAAUACCGCAUACGUCCUACGGGAGAAAGCAGGGGAUCACUUGUGACCUUGCGCUAAUAGAUGAGCCUAAGUCGGAUUAGCUAGUUGGAGGGGUAAAGGCCUACCAAGGCGACGAUCUGUAGCGGGUCUGAGAGGAUGAUCCUCCACACUGGGACUGGGACACGGCCCAGACUCCUACGGGAGGCAGCAGUGGGGAAUAUUGGACAAUGGGGGGAACCCUGAUCCAGCCAUGCCGCGUGUGUGAAGAAGGCCUUAUGGUUGUAAAGCACUUUAAGCGAGGAGGAGGCUCUUUUGGUUAAUACCCAAGAUGAGUGGACGUUACUCGCAGAAUAAGCACCGGCUAACUCUGUGCCAGCAGCCGCGGUAA
rnacentral:rRNA from 1 species